rnacentral:rRNA from 1 species
UGGUGUAGCGGUGAAAUGCGUAGAUAUCAGGAGGAACACCGGUGGUGUAGACGGCUUUCUGGACCAUAACUGACGCUGAGACACGAAAGCGUGGGUAGCAAACAGGAUUAGAUACCCUGGUAGUCCACGCCCUAAACGAUGCAUAUUUGGUGUGGGUCAUUCAGUUGAUCCGUGCCGGAGCUAACGCGUUAAAUAUGCCGCCUGGGGAGUACAGUCGCAAGGCUGAAACUCAAAGGAAUUGACGGGGGCCCGCACAAGCGGUGGAGCAUGUGGUUCAAUUCGACGCAACGCGAAGAACCUUACCUGGGCUCGAACGGCUUCCUAACGCCGGUGGAAACACCGGUAUCCCGCAAGGGAGUGGAGUCGAGGUGCUGCAUGGCUGUCGUCAGCUCGUGUCGUGAGAUGUUGGGUUAAGUCCCGCAACGAGCGCAACCCUUGUCCUGUGUUGCCAUCAUUUAGUUGGGAACUCGCAGGAGACCGCCAGCGAUAAGCUGGAGGAAGGUGGGGAUGACGUCAAGUCCUCAUGGCCUUUAUGUCCAGGGCUACACACGUGCUACAAUGGACGGUACAAUACGUCGCUAACCCGCGAGGGGGAGCCAAUCGCUAAAAACCGUUCUCAGUUCGGAUUGCAGGCUGCAACUCGCCUGCAUGAAGCUGGAAUCGCUAGUAAUGGCAGAUCAGCACGCUGCCGUGAAUACGUUCCCGGGCCUUGUACACACCGCCCGUCACAUCACGAAAGUGGAUUGUACUAGAAGUCUGCGCGCUAACCCGCAAGGGAGGCAGCGGCCCAAGGUAUGAUUCAUGAUUGGGGUGAAGUCGUAACAAGGUAACC